GGGCAACAGAGUGAGACUCCAACUAAAAAAAAAAAUUCAGGUUUCCACUACAGAUGCAAGAAAAAAGUGUACUCGUGCUGUCUGUCUGCUUGUGGCAGUCAAGAUUGAUUGGAGGAAUACAGGG
rnacentral:snoRNA from 1 species